AUGUGGGUUGUGUGGAGGGGUCAGCUCUGCAGGGCGCUGUGGGGCUCUCGGGCUCCAGCCGCCUCUUCUCGGCCGCGUAGUGCGGAAGCCGGCUCGCUCCCCGCCCCACGCUGCUGGAGUUGUGGUAUCGCUCUCCCCGCUCCCGGGGGGCUCCCUCGCUUCUGUCCGGCCUGCCAGGCCCUGCAGCCGCCGGAGUCCCAGCCUGACCUCUUCCGCCUGAUGGACUGCGAUCGCUCAUUCAACAUCAAUGUGCAGCAGCUGCAGCAGCGAUUCCGGAGCUUGCAACGCUCCCUGCACCCUGAUUACUUCACCCAGAGACCCCAGAAAGAGCGGGACUUUUCUGAACAACACUCUUCCUUGGUUAACAGAGCCUACCAAACCCUUCUAAGUCCCUUGAGACGUGGAUUGUACCUACUGGAGCUGAAUGGAGUGGAACUGGCAAAAGGGACAGACAGUGACAUAGAUGUGGAGUUCCUCAAGGAAAUCAUGGAAAUCAAUGAGACGCUGGCAGAACCUAAUAAUGAGGCUAAAAUAGAAGAGAUUGAAAGUUUCAUUGAAGUUAAACGAGAAGAAUUGACCAAGGAUGUGAGCAAAGCUUUUGAAAGAGGCAGGGUGACAAAAUGGUACCCUUUGGGACCCCACAAUUAACAGCACUUCGGGAAGAGAAGCAAUUGCCAACUACACAGUGAGAUCUUUCCAAGAAAAAAGAACAAAGCCACUGAAGAGCAGCCUUCUCCACUCCUGCUAGGGUCUGCUGAUGAUCUUCAAGAAGCCAAGAAACUUCUAGCCAAAAUGAAAUACUUUGAAAACUUGGAGGACAAGGUGAAGAGCAAGAAGAAUCCUUCCUGAUAUCACAUUCUUUGCCAUUAAGACCCGAUCCACUUUUGAUUAAAAUAGUGAUUUUGUAGUUUCUGAUUCAGGAACUAAAAGCAGCACAA